ACUACGGGUGGCAGCAGUGAGGAAUAUUGGUCAAUGGGCGCGAGCCUGAACCAGCCAAGUAGCGUGAAGGAUGACUGCCCUACGGGUUGUAAACUUCUUUUAUAAAGGAAUAAAGUGAGGCACGUGUGCCUUUUUGUAUGUACUUUAUGAAUAAGGAUCGGCUAACUCCGUGCCAGCAGCCGCGGUAAUACGGUGGAUCCGAGCGUUAUCCGGCUUUAUUGGGGUUAAAGGGCGCGUAGAUGGGUUGUUAAGUCCGUUGUGAAAGUUUGCGGCUCAACCGUAAAAUUGCAAUUGAUACUGGCAGUCUUGAGUACAGUUGAGGUAGGCGGAAUUCGUGGUGUAGCGGUGAAAUGCUUAGAUCUCACGAAGAACUCCGAUUGCGAAGGCAGCUUACUAAACUGCCCCUGACAUUGCUGCUCGAAAGUGUGGGUAUCAAACAGGAUUAGAUACCCGUGUAGUC
rnacentral:rRNA from 1 species